AUGACUAUUAAUCAACUAUAUGCCUACAGUACAUGUUUUAUAAUUAGAAAAACCAUCAACAAAACAAAUCAUCAAUAACAUGUCGUUUGUAAAGUUACAGAUUAAUAAACGCAGCACUCGGCGAGCAAGUCUGAUUGUUGUGCCGAAAGUGAGUGGAAAGAGAUAUAUGUAUAACAUACGAAGGAGUACAGCUUCAUAAGUUGUUACUGUCAUCUUUAUAAAUCUUUAUUUAUAGCAUAAUUAUUGGACCAAGUCAUGGAGGAAUUCAUUGUAAAAGUCGCUGUUUAGGCAACUCCUCGCUGAGGACACACUAGUCGCAGUCGGGGUAUGUUGAAGCUGGAUUUUGUUAUCAAUAACCCGCAAAAAAUUGGUGAGUCAACUUGAAUUAAGUUUUAACGGCUUGAAACUCAAUUUAGGGAGGAGAAAUACCGAUUUAUGAAAUAUUGAACCAUAAUCGCACUAUCGACUUAUUAAAACGACUUUAGCACACCGCCUAAAAGUGUGUUUAAAAUCAGAGAGAUCUUGUUGACAUAUAAUUUUACUUUUAAAUGGCAUUCCAUUUGGAUUAUUAUGAGCU